UCAAACUUGGUCAUUUAGAGGAAGUAAAAGUCGUAACAAGGUCUCCGUUGGUGAACCAGCGGAGGGAUCAUUAGAGGGUCUUUCUGGCCUCCUACUGCUCUUAACCAACCCGCGUACUUGCCGGAUAUCAUGUCUCUGCCUCGGCAGCGGCCCCAGGGGGGGCCAGCAGCCCGCCUCACGGCGGGUGCUGCCGGCGGCGCACAAACCAUACAACAUUGUGAAAAUAAACUUACAAACUGUUACAACCUGCAACAACGGAUCCCUUGGCUCCAGCAUCGAUGAAGAACGCAGC
rnacentral:misc_RNA from 1 species